rnacentral:tRNA from 1 species
UCCAGGGUAGCCUAGUGGACAUCGCACCUGCCCGGUAAGCAGAAGGUUGUGGGUUCGAUUCCCGCCCCUGGAC